CCUUCCAAUAGGUUGGGUCCACCAUAAGGAUAGUCUUGCAUAAAAAUCAGUCCCAUCUACUCAUUAGGUGGGUCAGACUAGCAACAAUAUUUAUUCAUUAAUAAAUAAUAAAAUAUAAUUAUUUAUUUAUUUUCAGGGAUAUAAGCCACAAUAACUUUGUUAAUUGGCUCCCACCACAGGUGGGGAAUUUGUCAAGUCUGCAACAACUGGAUAUAAGCUUCAAUAAUUUCAUUAGUUCACUCCCACCUCAACUAGGGAAUUUAGAAAGUCUGCAACAACUGAAUAUAAGCUACAAUAACUUCAAUAAUUCACUCCCACUUGAACUGGGGAAGUUGGCGAGUCUGCGACUACUGUAAGUUCUGUUUUUCUUUCUUUAUUCUAUUUAAUUAUUCUUCUUAAGAAUGCCAUUUAAAGGGUUUGGAAUUUCAAAUUUGUCAUGAAGUUUGGUGGUGAUCAAUAUGUUAUAGUUUUAUUUAUUUAUUUAUUCAUUUAUUUUCUCUAAGAAGGUUUCAAGUCCAAUCAAUUGGACCAUAAUUCAUUGUCCACUAAGCUACUUUCAACCUAUCAUGUUCAUGUAACAUCCAAUCCUUCCAAUAGGUUGGCUCGACCUUGAAAAUAGCCUUGUACAAAAAUCAGCCCAUCCACUCAUUAGGUGGG